rnacentral:misc_RNA from 1 species
GCCAUUCUCGUUUCUUAUAAACACUCUAUUUCUCAAACAAUUUCAACUCUUAUUCCCAAUUUUCAACUUUAAUUUGUCAAAGAUGUGGAGAAAUUCCUGUAAUCUAUUGAAACGGACAGUUACAUUGGUUGCGAGGACAAAUACGGUUAACAAUGGGGUGAGGCCGUUUUUGGGUGUGGAUUAUAAGUUCGGGUGCUAUUGUGGCCCGACCAGAAUGGUGGGUGGGUACUAUUUUAGCUCUGGGUCAAAUGGGGGUGGGGAAAACAAGAAUGGGGAUAGUAUUACUCAUGAGGAAGCUAAGAGGUUGAUGAGAUUGGUGAAUGUUGAGGAGCUGAAGUGGAAAUUGGGGAUGAAGAAUACGGAGGUUAUUGGGUAUAUGGAUCUGUUAAAGGCGUGUAAGAAUAUGGGUGUGGCUAAAACCCAUGAUGAAGCUGUUGGUUUUGCUAGAGUUCUUGAUGAGGCUGGUGUUAUAUUGCUAUUCAGAGAUAAAGUUUAUCUUCAUCCUGAUAAGGUAGUGGAUGAAAUUAGAAAGGCAGUUCCCUUGGCACUUCU